UGUUGGGUGUCGCACAUGCUCAGUACCUAGGUAAGGACUCCUAGCCAUCGGAGCAGAGUAUGAGGGCCCUGCCAGUACCUAGGUAGGACACUAAGCCAGUCAGGAGCAAUGUAGUGGCCCUGACAGUACCUAGGUAAGGACUACUAGCCAGUCAGAAGCAGAGUAUAGAGGCGUGCCCGGACAGUACCUAGGUAACGACUACUAGCCAGUCAGAAGCAGAGUAUGAGGGC